rnacentral:rRNA from 1 species
CACGUAGGGGGCGAGCGUUGUCCGGAUUUAUUGGGCGUAAAGAGCUCGUAGGCGGUUCGGCAAGUCGGGUGUGAAAUUUCGAGGCUCAACCUCGAAACGCCACUCGAUACUGCUGUGACUGGAGUCCGGUAGAGGAGUGCGGAAUUCCUGGUGUAGCGGUGAAAUGCGCAGAUAUCAGGAGGAACACCAACGGCGAAGGCAGCACUCUGGGCCGGUACUGACGCUGAGGAGCGAAAGCGUGUGGAGCAAACAGG